UCCGGUUAGUACGCUCUCACGUUGUUUAGCUUGCUACGUUAGCAUCCCGGCGGCGGCCACUUGCUGACAGUGACGAGCGCACACCUGGGAUGAGCGGCUAAUGAGGAGCCGCCUCCCCCGCCUUCUCCCCCGGCGCGCCCUUCUCCGGCAGCGGAGGGAAGGCCUCCAGGUAGGUGGGGAUGUAUGCCUCAUCCUCCGGGACGCAGCCUGCACCGCAGAGGCCGCCGCGGUGCUCUGCAAAGCUCUCGGGGGUCAACAGCGCCACUGAGCUCAUGGUUCAAGACUUCUUCCGCUAUUCCACUGCAACAAAUGAGCACAAUCAAAGUUCAAGUUUGUCGCUGACGUUCCAAGAAGUCGGAC